rnacentral:miRNA from 1 species
UAAAAUCGUGACAUGUGACGGUCA